GAACAGGCCGGACAAGGUGGCAUGCAGGAAUGCAGGGGUGCCUGUGUGUGUGUGCGGGUGCGCACGCAUAAACCUGCCACGGUUCUCUAGGGGAAGGAUUUGCCUGAGCUCCUCAAAUUUUCUCAGUUCCCUUUACUGACCAGGUGGUCAGAGCUGCUCCCCUUAGUCUGGGAAUGUCAUACAGAUAGAGCACAUGCUCUGGGCUAAUACAUUUGUCAACACUGACACCUCUGGCCAAACCUAUUCAUUACAAUCAAGGGACCUGAGAGUCUCAUCCCCGCCUCUUCCCUGGGCUCUGAAAACAUCCCACAUUCACUUUCCUAUGCAGAUGCUGGUGGGGACAUGGAGCUGCUGCAGCUCCUCUCUCUGCUAAUGGGGCUGCUGGCCACUGCCCUCUCAGGUGCAGAGGGCAGAUUAGUGGAGCAGUCAUCCCCAUAUUUAAUGGUGCGGUUGGGAGCAUCAGAGUCAGUGACCUGCACCUUGAAGGACACAACCUACCCCUGGAUGAGUUGGUAUCUGCAGGAUGUCCAAAGCCAGCUGCACUUCCUGGUGCAAUCAGGAACCAAGGGUGACCCUGAGGAAAUAUCCUUGAUGGAAAUAUCCUACACGUCUGAGCGGGUCAGUAGCACGGAGCUCAGGUUGGAGAUAAAGAAUGUGACUCAAUCCCAGACCAUCUACUGCACCUGCAGCACAGGGCACACCAAGCAGGACAGUGUGAGAGAGCUGCAGAGUGGUGGCACCGAAAUAAUUGGGGGAAUGAGGGAGUCAGAGCAGCUCGCCAUCCCAGUCCCUGGCAGGUGCCUUUUCCAUCUGCUGAGCACCACUAGGGGCAGAGAGGGAGAAGAAGAGGUCUGGCUGCACCCUCCUUCGAGUGCCAUAAUGAGGACACUGUCCAUCGAACAAAUCUCCAAUGUGACCAGCAGCAAAUGA